rnacentral:lncRNA from 10 species
UUUAUAUAGUUAUAACUAUGAAUGGAAUACAUUUUAAAAAGGUGGAUGUUAUAGGUGCUAAAAAGAAGCUUAUGCAGUUAUUGAAAACUAAGUGAAAAAAGGAACCUAUUAUGAGUACAUAGACCAUCUUUCCCUUGACUGUUAGAGCAAGUCUUUUCUUAAAAGCAGUGGAUUUUAAUGUGGCAUGCAUAUUGGGGCUUGUCCUCUUGGAAUGAUCACUUAUCCACCAAGCUGAGAAAUUCCAAGCAACCACGUAAAGAUCUCUACAUGGAAGACAACAAAAGUCCCUGGCCAACAGCCAGCCUCAACUUGCCAAUUAUAUUAAUGAGGUCAUCUUGGAAGGGGAUCCUCCAAUCCUAAGUUGAGCCUCCCCAGCUGAUUCCACAUGGAACAGAGAUGAGCUGUCCACAUCAAGACUGGCCGAAAUUGCAGAUUUGUGAGCAAAUUGUGUGCCAAGUAUGGAAUGGAAAACCAAAUGCCCUCCUCAGAGUCAUCCACACACAGUUGUCUUAGACGUGGUGAAGUAUUGAAGAUUCCUCAGUUACCUCCUUAAGUGUCACCAAAACAGCCAGUCUGGGUGUUUCAAACAAAGGUCUUGGGGCAUGGAAUGAGCACGGUAGAAAAUGCAGCGAGGGAAAUGUCAGUUGGAAUCCUCGGAAGAAAUCAGGCAGAAAGUUGACCUUUUGGCACUUGCAGUGCAAUGGAAGGUAGCGCCGC